rnacentral:rRNA from 1 species
AUGCAGUCGAACGGUAACAGGUCUUCGGAUGCUGACGAGUGGCGAACGGGUGAGUAAUACAUCGGAACGUGCCCGAUCGUGGGGGAUAACGGAGCGAAAGCUUUGCUAAUACCGCAUACGAUCUACGGAUGAAAGCAGGGGACCGCAAGGCCUUGCGCGGACGGAGCGGCCGAUGGCAGAUUAGGUAGUUGGUGGGAUAAAAGCUUACCAAGCCGACGAUCUGUAGCUGGUCUGAGAGGACGACCAGCCACACUGGGACUGAGACACGGCCCAGACUCCUACGGGAGGCAGCAGUGGGGAAUUUUGGACAAUGGGCGCAAGCCUGAUCCAGCCAUGCCGCGUGCAGGAUGAAGGCCUUCGGGUUGUAAACUGCUCUUGUACGGAACGAAAAGACUCUUUCUAAUAAAGAGGGUCCAUGACGGUACCGUAAGAAUAAGCACCGGCUAACUACGUGCCAGCAGCCGCGGUAAUACGUAGGGUGCGAGCGUUAAUCGGAAUUACUGGGCGUAAAGCGUGCGCAGGCGGUGAUGUAAGACAGAUGUGAAAUCCCCGGGCUCAACCUGGGAACUGCAUUUGUGACUGCAUCGCUGGAGUGCGGCAGAGGGGGAUGGAAUUCCGCGUGUAGCAGUGAAAUGCGUAGAUAUGCGGAGGAACACCGAUGGCGAAGGCAAUCCCCUGGGCCUGCACUGACGCUCAUGCA